AUUGAACGCUGGCGGAAUGCUUUACACAUGCAAGUCGAACGGCAGCACGGACUUCGGUCUGGUGGCGAGUGGCGAACGGGUGAGUAACAUAUCGGAACGUAUCCAAUAAUGGGGGAUAACUAAUCGAAAGGUUGGCUAAUACCGCAUACGCCCUACGGGGGAAAGCAGGGGAUCUUCGGACCUUGCGUUAAUGGAGCGGCUGAUAUCUGAUUAGCUAGUUGGUGAGGUAAAGGCUCACCAAGGCGACGAUCAGUAGCUGGUCUGAGAGGACGACCAGCCACACUGGAACUGAGACACGGUCCAGACUCCUACGGGAGGCAGCAGUGGGGAAUUUUGGACAAUGGGCGCAAGCCUGAUCCAGCCAUUCCGCGUGAGUGAAGAAGGCCUUCGGGUUGUAAAGCUCUUUCGCAAGGGAAGAAAACUUACUUUCUAAUAAAGAGUGAGGUUGACGGUACCUUGAUAAGAAGCACCGGCUAACUACGUGCCAGCAGCCGCGGUAAUACGUAGGGUGCGAGCGUUAAUCGGAAUUACUGGGCGUAAAGCGUGCGCAGGCGGUUUUGUAAGUCAGAUGUGAAAUCCCCGAGCUCAACUUGGGAACUGCGUUUGAAACUACAAGACUGGAAUAUGUCAGAGGGGGGUAGAAUUCCACGUGUAGCAGUGAAAUGCGUAGAGAUGUGGAGGAAUACCAAUGGCGAAGGCAGCCCCCUGGGAUAAUAUUGACGCUCAUGCACGAAAGCGUGGGGAGCAAACAGGAUUAGAUACCCUGGUAGUCCACGCCCUAAACGAUGUCUACUAGUUGUUGGUGGAGUAAAAUCCAUGAGUAACGCAGCUAACGCGUGAAGUAGACCGCCUGGGGAGUACGGUCGCAAGAUUA
rnacentral:rRNA from 1 species